CAGACGCUGGGCAUGAAUGGAUAGUGGUGGAUAAUAACAAGGGUUCACAUGCCGAAUUCAAAUGGUAAAUAGUGGGCAGUAACGAAAGGCCAUAUAUAUGAUAUACAAUAGAAAUCAUAAUCUGACACCAGAGUCGAACCAAAACUUUAAGGAACCACAAAUUCCAGAACAAUAAUCAGUACCAGAACUCCCAUAUAAUCACAACCAGAUGUCGAAAUUGAAUUGAAACUCAUAUUAAUCAUAUCCAAAUGUAAAAUUCAAACCCUAACCAUAUCAUAACAAGUGUACCGACAUUCACAGUCAAUGACAUAAAUAAAGUAUAUGUUGAAUCUAAGCCAAAACUACAAAUAUAUUUAAAUAACCAUUUGCAUAUUUAAA
rnacentral:lncRNA from 1 species